rnacentral:rRNA from 1 species
GACGAACGCUGGCGGCGUGCUUAACACAUGCAAGUCGAACGGAAAGGCCCCCUUGUGGGGUACUCGAGUGGCGAACGGGUGAGUAACACGUGAGUAACCUACCCUUGACUUUGGGAUAACUUCAGGAAACUGGGGCUAAUACCGGAUAGGAGCUCCUGCUGCAUGGUGGGGGUUGGAAAGUUUCGGCGGUUGGGGAUGGACUCGCGGCUUAUCAGCUUGUUGGUGGGGUAGUGGCUCACCAAGGCUUUGACGGGUAGCCGGCCUGAGAGGGUGACCGGCCACAUUGGGACUGAGAUACGGCCCAGACUCCUACGGGAGGCAGCAGUGGGGAAUAUUGCACAAUGGGAGGAAGCCUGAUGCAGCAACGCCGCGUGCGGGAUGACGGCCUUCGGGUUGUAAACCGCUUUCGCCUGUGACGAAGCGUGAGUGACGGUAAUGGGUAAAGAAGCACCGGCUAACUACGUG